rnacentral:rRNA from 1 species
CAGUAGCCGCGGUAAGACAGAGGAUGCAAGCGUUAUCCGGAAUGAUUGGGCGUAAAGCGUGCGCAGGCGGUUGUGUAAGACAGGUGUGAAAUCCCCGGGCUUAACCUGGGAACUGCGCUUGUGACUGCACAGCUAGAGUAUGGCAGAAGGGGGUGGAAUUCCACGUGUAGCAGUGAAAUGCGUAGAGAUGUGGAGGAACACCGAUGGCGAAGGCAGCCCCCUGGGCCAAUACUGACGCUCAUGCACGAAAGCGUGGGGAGCAAACAGGAUUAGAUACCCGCGUAGUCCCUGUCUCUUAUAC